CACUGCACGGCAAGCUGACUGUGUGGGGGAGAGAGUGAGACACAGUAAUAAGAGAUAGAGACAGAGACAGAGAGAGCCAGUGAAAUAGUGAAAUAGAGGGGGGGCUGACAGAAUAAUGUGGGAAACUAUACACUGAGGAACUACCCAAACCUGAAGAAGACUUUUAUGACAACGUUUAUGGGAGACCAGGACAGGGACUCCAACCUGUGGAGACCAUGGGCAGCCCCACCCCCCCUGUGCCUUCCCUCAACGUCACCGAGUCAGCCAACACAUCAUGGGCCGGGGCGGCUGGUGGGGAGCCAGGUUACAGCGAGGUGGAAAUGGUCCUCCUAGGCAUGUUGAUGUCACUGUUGGUCGUAGGCAUCGUGUUCGGCAACAUCCUGGUCAUCAUAGCCAUCUACCGGUUCCAGAGACUGCAGAACAUCACCAACUGCUUCAUCACCUCUCUGGCCUGUGCCGACCUGGUCAUGGGUCUCAUCGUGGUGCCGUUCGGAGCCUGCUACAUCAUCUUCAACACCUGGCACUUUGGCAGCUUCUGGUGUGAGUUCUGGACCGCCACUGACGUGUUGUGCGUGACGGCCAGCAUCGAGACGCUCUGCGUGAUAGCGCUGGACCGUUACCUGGCCAUAACCUCUCCUUUCCGCUACCAGUCUCUGCUGACCAAGUGUAAGGCACGCGUGGUGGUCCUGCUGGUGUGGGUGAUCGCUGGACUCAUCUCCUUCUUACCCAUCCACAUGAAGUGGUGGAUCAGUGACGACGCGGAGGCCAAGGCCUGCAUCCAGAACAGCAACUGCUGUGACUUCAACACCAACACAGCCUACGCCAUCACCUCCUCCAUCAUCUCCUUCUACAUCCCCUUAGUCGUCAUGGUGUUUGUCUACAGCCGCGUGUUCCAGGAGGCCAAGCAGCAACUACGCAAGAUCGACCGCAGCGAGGGGCGCUUCCACGCCCAUAACAACAACAUGGCAGGAGGAGGAGGAGGAGGAGGAGGAGGAGGAGGAGGAGGGGUGGAGAGUAACAACGAGAGCCGAGGAGUUGGAGGAGGCUUCAGGAAGACCAAGUUCUGCCUGCGGGAACACAAGGCCCUGAAGACCCUCGGGAUCAUCAUGGGGAUCUUCACACUGUGCUGGCUACCCUUCUUCGUCCUCAACGUGGUGGUAGCCAUCUGGAAGGUAGGGGACAUCGGACUCGCCUUCAGGAUACUCAACUGGAUAGGUUACGCCAACUCCGCAUUCAACCCCUUGAUCUACUGCAGGAGCCCUGAGUUCAGGUAUGCAUUCAAGGAGAUCCUGUGCAUCAAGAAGGUCCGGUUCCCCAACAUAGGGCCUACUAAUGGAUACGUGUACAGCGGACACAGCUGGCAGAGUGAGCAGCAGGGAGCUCGGAGUAAAGGGAGCUCGGAGGACAGGGAGGACAGUGACCCAGCUGCAGACGGGUGCUCGGGGCGGGGAGAGGCCGGUGGGUGUGGAGCUGCAGACAGAACGGACCCGAACGGGAACUGCAGUAAAGGGUUAACGACUGUACUUUAACCCCUCAUAUUUGAUCUCUGGAACAGACAGACAUAUUUCAUUGCCAUUGGCCAUUGUCACUUCACCAAGUCACUGAGAUAAGACUGGAUGGAUGGAUAGAGUGUGAAUGGAAAUUCCUGUGUUGUUGCAGAGCUGAACCCUGUCCAGGCCGAUAAACAGGGGAUAAAUCCAUUAUCUCCGCUGUUUAGCCGGGGAAUCAGAAGACUCCCUCCCUUCUAAACAACAGCUGCAGGCAAGGAGCGAUCUCAAGAUUGGGAUGUUUAACGUUCCCCCAGUCUGCCAGACAGUUAGCAGGAAGAACAAGUCUCUAAUGGCACAUCUAUUCCCCACACUCCUCAAGUGUUGGUGGCUGUGUCCUAAAUGAUACCUGAGUUUACUCACCAUAAGGGAAGUACUUUUGACCUGUGCCAUACUGUAUGGUGUGUGUUCACUAUCGGCUUCUGUCAACAGUACUGCAUAAUAUAGUGCAUAUAGGGGUAUGAGUCAGCCACUUGAAGAGAAGCAAAACAACAUUUAUCAGAGGUGUUGUUUUGGAUGUAACACCCCUUCCUCUGACCAGCCAGGCAGCUCUAUGAUCUACAGCUUGAUCACACUGCAGAUGCGAAAGGAGAGAGUAGGCAAAUUUUAGCAGAGGCGUUGUUUUUGACAUAACCCAGACCACUUCCCCUAGCUGUUUAAGACAUAACCCCGACCACUUCCCCUAGCUGUUUAAGACAUAACCCCGACCACCUCCCCUAGCUGUUUAAGACAUAACCCCAACCACUUCCCCUAGCUGUUUAAGACAUAACCCCGACCACUUCCCCUAGCUGUUUAAGACAUAACCCCGACAACUUCCCCUAGCUGUUUAAGACAUAACCCCAACCAUCUCCCCUAGCUGUUUAAGACAUAACCCCGACCACCUCCCCUAGCUGUUUAAGACAUAACCCCGACCACUUCCCCUAGCUGUUUAAGACAUAACCCCGACCACCUCCCCUAGCUGUUUAAGACAUAACCCCAACCACUUCCCCUAGCUGUUUAAGACAUAACCCCGACCACUUCCCCUAGCUGUUUAAAACAUAACCCCGACCACUUCCCCUAGCUGUUUAAGACAUAACCCCAACCACCUCCCCUAGCUGUUUAAGACAUAACCCCGACCACUUCCCCUAGCUGUUUAAGACAUAACCCCAACCACCUCCCCUAGCUGUUUAAGACAUAACCCCAACCACUUCCCCUAGCUGUUUAAGACAUAACCACAACCACCUCCCCUAGCUGUUUAAGACAUAACCCCAACCACCUCCCCUAGCUGUUUAAGACAUAACCCCAACCACCUCCCCUAGCUGUUUUUCACAUAACCCCAACCACUUCCCCUAGCUGUUUAAGACAUAACCCCGACCACUUCCCCUAGCUGUUUAAGACAUAACCCCAACCACCUCCCCUAGCUGUUUAAGACAUAACCCCAACCACCUCCCCUAGCUGUUUAAGACAUAACCCCAACCACCUCCCCUAGCUGUUUAAGACAUAACCCCAACCACCUCCCCUAGCUGUUUAAGACAUAACCCCAACCACCUCCCCUAGCUGUUUAAGACAUAACCCCAACCACCUCCCCUAGCUGUUUAAGACAUAACCCCAACCAUUUCCCCUAGCUGUUUAAGACAUAACCCCAACCACUUCCCCUAGCUGUUUUUCACAUAGCCCCGACCACUUCCCCUAGCUGUUUAAGACAUAACCCCAACCACCUCCCCUAGCUGUUUAAGACAUAACCCCAACCACCUCCCCUAGCUGUUUUUCACAUAACCCCAACCACCUCCCCUAGCUGUUUAAGACAUAACCCCAACCACUUACCCUAGCUGUUUAAGACAUAACCCCAACCACCUCCCCUAGCUGUUUAAGACAUAACCCCAACCACCUCCCCUAGCUGUUUAAGACAUAACCCCGACCACCUCCCCUAGCUGUUUAAGACAUAACCCCAACCAUUUCCCCUAGCUGUUUUUCACAUAGCCCCGACCACUUCCCCUAGCUGUUUUUCACAUAGCCCCGACCACUUCCCCUAGCUGUAAACAGUCUUGUGAUCAACAGUGUGCUAUGACAAUAGUAUAACCACGCUAAAUGUAGCUACUGUUGGCCAGGCUGUUUUCUACCUGUCUAAAACAGUUUUAGUGGCCUGUGUGUUGUGGCUUUGCGUCUCAAGUGUUGUCAACGGAUGGUGUUGAAACUGUGAACUUUGAUCUUUUGGAUGAAUCUCUUUGUCCUGUACUGUAGCUUUGGCCGGCACCAGUUGUUGUCAAAAGCCCCGCAGCACAAAACACAUGUCAGUAUGGGUCAAUGUGUGACAGCAAAUAAACACCGUUUUUUUAUUGCAUUUACUUUUUUAUUUAUAAAUAAAUGAUAAAAAGCAUUCAUUAUUGAAAUGUUUAUUGUUGUGUGGAAUGUGCAAAUCUAGUAACCCGACCAUCUCACUACAUUUGCAGCAGCAGCCUACAAAAACUGAAAAUUAUACAGAAAAGACCCACACAUUGAAAAGAAAACAUGGUUUUAGACUUGGACAUAAAGAACCCAUAUUUGAAGAAAUGCAAAUCCAGAGGGUUAGCAUUCCCCUGUAAAAGCGUGCAUGUGUGCUCUGUGUUUGUCUGUGUGUAUUGGACAUGUCAGUGCCGUUUCUUUAAUGCUGUGGUCUUUGUGUCAAAAAACAAAAGCUUCUAAAGAGGAACAUCUAGCAUAAACAGGUCAUCUACUCUAGUCUCUCCUGGUCCUCUCCUGGACAUCUACACUGGUCUCUCCUGGUUCUCUCCUGGACAUCUACACUGGUCUCUCCUGGUCCUCUCCUGGACACCUACUCUUCUCCCUCCUGGUCCUCUCCUGGACACCUACUCUUCUCCCUCCCGGUCCUCUCCUGGACACCUACUCUGCUCCCUCCCGGUCCUCUCCUGGACACCUACUCUUCUCCCUCCCGGUCCUCUCCUGGACAUCUACUCUGCUCCCUCCCGGUCCUCUCCUGGACAUCUACACUGGUCUCUCCUGGUCCUCUCCUGGACAUCUACACUGGUCUUCUCUGGUCCUCUCCUGGACACCUACUCUUCUCCCUCCCGGUCCUCUCCUGGACAUCUACUCUGCUCCCUCCCGGUCCUCUCCUGGACAUCUACACUGGUCUCUCCUGGUCCUCUCCUGGACAUCUACUCUGCUCCCUCUGGUCCUCUCCUGGACAUCUACUCUGCUCCCUCCUGGUCCUCUCCUGGACAUCUACUCUGCUCCCUCCUGGUCUUCUCCUGGACACCUACUCUGCUCCCUCCUGGUCCUCUCCUGGACAUCUACUCUGCUCCCUCCUGGUCCUCUCCUGGACAUCUACUCUGCUCCCUCCUGGUCUUCUCCUGGACAUCUACUCUGCUCCCUCCUGGUCCUCUCCUGGACACCUACUCUGCUCCCUCCCGGUCCUCUCCUGGACACCUACUCUUCUCCCUCCCGGUCCUCUCCUGGACAUCUACUCUGCUCCCUCCCGGUCCUCUCCUGGACAUCUACACUGGUCUCUCCUGGUCCUCUCCUGGACAUCUACACUGGUCUUCUCUGGUCCUCUCCUGGACACCUACUCUUCUCCCUCCCGGUCCUCUCCUGGACAUCUACUCUGCUCCCUCCCGGUCCUCUCCUGGACAUCUACACUGGUCUCUCCUGGUCCUCUCCUGGACAUCUACUCUGCUCCCUCUGGUCCUCUCCUGGACAUCUACUCUGCUCCCUCCUGGUCCUCUCCUGGACAUCUACUCUGCUCCCUCCUGGUCUUCUCCUGGACACCUACUCUGCUCCCUCCUGGUCCUCUCCUGGACAUCUACUCUGCUCCCUCCUGGUCCUCUCCUGGACAUCUACUCUGCUCCCUCCUGGUCCUCUCCUGGACAUCUACUCUGUUCAAUCCGGAGUCCUCUCCUGGAC